rnacentral:rRNA from 1 species
GACGAACCGUGCGAACGUUGUUCGGAAUCACUGGGCUUAAAGGGCGCGUAGGCGGGCAUGCAAGUCAGGGGUGAAAGCCCACGGCUCAACCGUGGAAGUGCCUUUGAUACUGCAAGUCUUGAGCGAGGUAGGGGCGUGCGGAACUUCCGGUGGAGCGGUGAAAUGCGUAGAUAUCGGAAGGAACACCGGUGGCGAAAGCGGCGCGCUGGACCUCUUCUGACGCUGAGGCGCGAAAGCCAGGGGAGCAAACGGG